rnacentral:misc_RNA from 1 species
AGUACAUUUUACAGGACAAUCACCAACCACAAACCUUGAAGCAAACACAUAAGCAGGCAAAAUACCAUAUAUUGCGCUUAUCAGUUAUCAUUAAGAUUGGGAGACCCGACCCGAAUUUGUGUCUGAGACGGUCCUUUGCAAAUCUUCCCCACCUGGAAUCAGCGUACCUGGAUACCCCGGAACCAUACCAGGAGUUGCAUUUCUAACCCCAUAAUAAACCUGUUGAUUCACCCCGUCAGGAACUACUCUUCCACCCUCAUAAGGAUCCAGUGCAGUCAUGGGCCUGAUAGCAGCUCCACCAUAUACUUGACCCAUACCCGGAAGUCCUUGUUGAUAACCCACCGGUAUUGGACCUGUUGACACUGGGUAUUGUUGAACGAAUGGAGGCCGGAUUUGAACGGGCUGAACUGGGACAUUACCCGGUGGAACUGGACCCGGAACAUAAUAAACUGGUAUUGGUUGUACGUGAUGACCCGGAUAAUGAGAAUCCGGAAUAUAAUGCAUAACGGGAUUACUCGGGUACCCAGUUGGAUGGGUCAUUACUGGUUCAAUUGUCUCAGAAGAACUAUCCACUGUAUUCUGCUUUGGUUGUAUGAUUGGAUCCGUGUUUUCGGGUUUGGUCUUAACGGGUGGAAGAUCAGGAAUUGAAGGCACAAUUGGGACAGCUGAAGAAGUCGAGCAAUACGGCGAAGAAACAACCGGAGCCGGAGAACCUGGAUCCGAUGCCGAAACGUUGUCAUGCAAAACGAGUCGACUCUUCGCCUUGUUCUCACGAGGCUGUGGAUCGUCCGAAUUAUCCAACCCGAAUAGAUAAUCGGGCACUUCAGACACAAUGGAGGAAGCCUCGGAUCGUUCUCGCUGGAGACUGGACCCAGAAUUAAGAGCAUCAAAGAACCAGUGCUCCCGAUUUGUAGAGCCAUCAAGAAGCGAGCUGAUGCUACUAGCUCUCGAAUCCUCCCCUUUAGAGAAGAGAAACAGCCGGAGCCGUGCCGAGCGAGGAUUCAGAUUCAAUAAAACCCGAUCAUAUUCUUCCAUCAUAUUAUCUAUAUCCUCGUCGGUUGUAACAGAUAUCAAAGCAUCGAG